rnacentral:rRNA from 1 species
UACGAAGGGGGCUAGCGUUGCUCGGAAUCACUGGGCGUAAGGGUGCGUAGGCGGGUCUUAAGGUCAGGGGUGAAAUCCUGGAGCUCAACUCCAGAACUGCCCUUGAUACUGAGGAUCUUGAGUUCGGGAGAGGUGAGUGGAACUGCGAGUGUAGAGGUGAAAUUCGUAGAUAUUCGGAAGAAACACCAGUGGCGAAGGCGGCUCACUGGUCCGGUACUGACGCUGAGGUGGCGAAAGCGUGGGGAGCAAACAGGG